GAUGAACGCUGGCGGCGUGCCUAAUACAUGCAAGUCGAACGGACAGACCUGUUGCUUGCUGUUUUCACGUUAGCAACGGACGGGUGAGUCAUACGUGAGUUACCUAUCUCUUAGACUUGGCUAAAUUAGGCUAACCCGAACACCUGACGGGUACUCUUUCGACACGCAUGGUUCGGUAAUGAAAGAUGGCUCUGCCAUCACCUCUCGACGGAUCUGCGCGGUAUUAGCUAGUUGGUUAGGUAACGGCUUACCAAGGAAACGAUACGUAGCCGACCUGAGCGCGUGAUCGGCCACACUGGAACUGAGACACGGUCCAGACUCCGACGUGAGGCAGCAGUAGGGAAUCGUCGGCGAUGGGCGAAAGCCUGACGGAGCGACGCCGCGUGAGUGAUGAAGGGCUGCGGGUCGUAAAACGCUGUUAGUAGUGAAGACCGAACUUGUAAGUAACUGUGCACGUCUUGACGGUACCUAAUCAGAAAGCCACGGCUAACUACGUG
rnacentral:rRNA from 1 species